rnacentral:snRNA from 1 species
AAACUCUGGUUUCUCUUCAGGUUGUAUAAAUCUUUUGCCUUUUACUAAAGAUUUCCGCAGAGAGGAACAUUUAUGAGUUUGUAACUAUUUCUUUUGUGAGCCAGUUUGGCCUU